CACGUAGGGGGCAAGCGUUGUCCGGAUUUAUUGGGCGUAAAGAGCUCGUAGGUGGCUUAGUAAGUCGGGUGUGAAACCUCCAGGCUCAACCUGGAGACGCCACCCGAUACUGCUAUAGCUUGAGUCCGGUAGGGGAGCGUGGAAUUCCCGGUGUAGCGGUGAAAUGCGCAGAUAUCGGGAAGAACACCUAUGGCGAAGGCAGCUCUCUGGGACGGUACUGACGCUGAGACGCGAAAGCGUGGGGAGCGAACAGG
rnacentral:rRNA from 1 species